UAUUAUUAAUUUUUCUCUUUGUAGGGCAGUAAGUAAGAAAUAUCUCAUAUCACAGGUGAUUGUUGGCCGACACGAAGCCGAGGUCAACAAACAUGUGAUCUGAGGCUUUCUUAUUUACUGCCUAUGGUGUGUAUACUACUUUUCUCCUGGACGGAGGCGGAAAGCGGCAACUUCGUUUAGCGCAGCGGGGCUAAAGUUGACGCUUUACGCCCGGAAGGGAGAAAAAGUAAAUAAUACAAAUUCGUAUCGAAAGGAAAUAAAUUUUUGAACUUUAAGGAUGAUAAAUGAUGAAAAUUUUGUCAAUAACCACGAAAUUGGAACACCGAAAAGACGGAUGUGGAGGAUAAAAGUACCAAAUUCAGUAAUGGGAGAAAAAGCUUAGAUGCCUCGUUAAUCGGUGAUAAAAUAUCUAAAGAAUCAUCAGGAAAUAUUCAUAAAAUGUGGCAACCAAUGCUGUGUGUCCAAAAUGAAAUAGCUACUAAAUCUGUCAAGGAGAACUUGGAUAUAAUCGAGAAUAAUUUAGACGAAGUAAA